rnacentral:lncRNA from 1 species
UCGGGUACAAUUCUAAAACGAUAUAAGAUAACGCAACAACGUUCAACAAAUUAAGCUAAAAACGAUAAACAAAUAAUUUCACUUAGAAAUUAAACAGGUAAUCCUAGGUUCUAGCAACAAACAAUGGUUACCAAGCAAUGGCAACCCCCAAACCUAUGUGAUCACCUCACACGAUGAUCUGCUAGUGCGAUAAUGUAAAGGUUUC